rnacentral:rRNA from 1 species
AUGGAGCCACCAACGCCCAGAACCAUGCCAUCAUGGUUGCUGCUUCUCUGCCUAGUCGCCUCUGGCCUGUUGCAAGCUCUUGCGCAGUCUAACCCACCAGGUUUCAUAAGCAUAGACUGUGGUCUCCCCGGAGAGACAGGCUACGUGGAUAGCGCCACCACGCUACCCUACACCACGGACGCUGGCUUCAUCGGCGCCUACGUCGGCUCGAACCACAACAUCGCCGCCAUAUACAUGACCUCGCCACUACCCAACAACUGGUGGUACACCCUGCGCAGCUUCCCCGUCGGGAAACGCAACUGUUACACUCUUGGCUCGCUCGUGCCCGGGCUCAAGUACCUCAUCCGCGCCAGGUUCUUCUACGGCAACUACGACGGCUUCAACUACCAACCUUUCUUCGAUCUCUAUGUCGGUGUUGACUUCUGGAUGACGGUGAACAUCCGAGCCUCCAACACGGCGGUGCUAGCGGAGGCCAUCGUGAUGGUGCCGCGCGAUUCGGUGCAGGUUUGCCUGGUGAACACGGGCGGUGGGGUGCCGUUCAUCUCUGCGCCGUUUGGUAAAAAUAUGUACCGUUUGGUAAAAAUACUUCAGUACCCUGAUGAUCCAUUCGAUCGGAUGUGGUUCCCUUUUUCUGGCAACGAAACAACUCACUGGGAUGAGAUAUCAACGGACAUGGAGGUCCACAUCACUGACGACCAAUUCCAGCCGCCCCAGGCCGUGAUGCAGACGGCCAACACGCCGAAGAACGUCUUAGACAACAUAGAGUUCACCUUAAACCUCCAUAGUUCCCCUACUGACCCGUCCCUGGGUUACAUGGAACUGAUAUACUUCUCUGAACUGGAACCUCUCCCUAGUGGCGCACUACGGCCAUACAACAUCUACCGGAAUGGUGGAGAGAUCAAAACAAACUACACUCCAAAGUACCUUGACGCUGGUUGCAUCCACUCGACUGAGCCAUUUAAAUUUCAAGCUAGCCAGUACAUAUUAUCCAUCAACCCCACUGCUAAUGCGACGCUGCCGCCCAUCAUAAACGCAUUAGAGCUAUUCUCCGUCAUGUCAACCAGCACCCUUGGCACCGACUCACAACACGUGUCUGCCAUCACGGCGAUCAAGGAGAUGUACCAGGUGCAGAAGAAUUGGAUGGGUGACCCGUGUGUUCCCAAUACUAUGGUCUGGGAUGGCUUGACAUGUAUCUAUGGCACUUCUGGACCCCCAAUUAUCUCAAACGUAAACGUCUCCUUCAGUGGUCUGGAUCAUACUAUAUCACCUGAUUUUGCAAAUCUCACGGAUGUCCGAUACUUGGAUUUGUCAAACAACAACUUGAUUGGCUCAAUUCCGGACACCCUUUCACAAUUACCAUCAUUAAUAUUUUUUGGAUCAAUUCCCUAUGGACUUCUCAAAAAAGUUCAAGAUGGCUCCUUGUAUCUAAGAUAUGGCAACAAUCCUGACCUCUGUUCUAAUGGAAGUACAUGCCAGCCUGCUAAAGGAGAUAGCAAAUUAGCUAUCCACAUAGCUGUUCCUGUAGUUGUAAUUGUAGCAUUAGUGCUAGUGGCAAUACUAUGCUUUUUGUUGCAGAGAAAAAGGAAUCAAAGAUCAAUCAGAAACCAUGUAAAGCUGACAAAUGAUAGCGAUUGGAAUAUUUCACUUGCAAGUGAGAACCGUCAGUUCACGUACAUGGAACUAGAGGUGAUAACGAAAAAUUUCCAACGAUCGCUUGGGCAAGGAGGGUUCGGGUUUGUCUUCCACGGCUCCCUCGAAAAGGGUACUGAGGUGGCAGUAAAGUUGAGGUCUCAUUCUUCAAAUCAAGGCAUCAAGGAGUUCCUUGCAGAGGCUCAAGUUUUAACACUUAUUCAUCACAAGAAUCUUGUGUCCAUGAUUGGUUACUGCAACGACGGGGGGCACAUGGCAGUUGUCUAUGAGUACAUGCCUCAAGGAUCCCUAAAAGAGCUUAUUGCAGAAGAUGACAACAAACAAUGCUUGCCCUGGGGACAAAGACUUCGAGUUGCACUUGAAUCGGCGCAAGGACUGGAGUACCUACACAAGGGGUGUAGCCCACCUAUAAUUCACAGGGAUGUGAAAACCGCUAACAUCUUGUUAAACGCAAGGCUGGAGGCCAAGAUUGCCGAUUUUGGCUUGUCCAAGGUUUUCAACUGUGAGGAUGACACCCAUGUAUCCACCAACACAUUUGUAGGCACAUACGGAUAUGCAGAUCCAGAGACAGUGCAGCCGUCAACGAAGAGUGACGUGUACAGCUUUGGUGUUGUGCUGCUAGAGCUAGUCACUGGGAAGCCAGCCAUCAUACGCAACCCCGAGGCCAUAAUCUCCCUCGUCAAUUGGACACGACAACGGCUCGCAUGGGGCGACAUUGAGGGCGUUGUGGAUCCGCGUAUGCAAGGUGAUCAUGACAUCAAUGCUAUUUGGAAGACUACAGAGAUUGCAUUCAAGUGCACUGAGCAAUCGCCCCUGCAACGGCCAUCCAUGACCGAUGUCGUGAUGCAGCUACAAGAGUGCCUCGACCUCGAGCAAGGCUUCAAACAGGGCAACAAUGGAUUCUACACUGGCAGUGGCAACGGUGAAGUGGACCCAAACAUGGAUUACAACACUACAACGAAUCAGUCCAUUGAUGUGAGCCAGAAUAACGCUACUUUGAGAUAA